UACAGAGGGUGCGAGCGUUGUUCGGAAUUAUUGGGCGUAAAGCGCUUGUAGGCGGCACGUCAAGUCGCGUGUGAAAUCCCCAGGCUUAACCUGGGAAGUGCGCGCGAAACUGACGAGCUUGAGUGCCGGAGAGGGUCGCGGAAUUCUCGGUGUAGAGGUGAAAUUCGUAGAUAUCGGGAGGAACACCAGUGGCGAAGGCGGCGACCUGGACGGACACUGACGCUGAGACGCGAAAGCGUGGGGAGCAAACAGG
rnacentral:rRNA from 1 species